GAUGAACGCUGGCGGCGUGCUUAACACAUGCAAGUCGAACGGAAAGGCUCCUGCUUGCAGGGGUACUCGAGUGGCGAACGGGUGAGUAACACGUGGGUGAUCUGCCCUGCACUUCGGGAUAAGCCUGGGAAACUGGGUCUAAUACCGGAUAGGACGAUGGUUUGGAUGCCAUUGUGGAAAGUUUUUUCGGUGUGGGAUGAGCUCGCGGCCUAUCAGCUUGUUGGUGGGGUAAUGGCCUACCAAGGCGUCGACGGGUAGCCGGCCCGAGAGGGUGUACGGCCACAGUGGGACUGAGAUACGGCCCAGACUCCUACGGGAGGCAGCAGUGGGGAAUAUUGCACAAUGGGCGCAAGCCUGAUGCAGCGACGCCGCGUGGGGGAUGACGGCCUUCGGGUUGUAAACUCCUUUCGCUAGGGACGAAGCGCAAGUGACAGUACCUGGAGAAGAAGCACCGGCGAACUAAGU
rnacentral:rRNA from 1 species